rnacentral:lncRNA from 1 species
AAGACAUCAGCCUGACUCCGCUCUCCGAGGCACUCUCCCUUGAACAGCAACCUCCCAGGAUGCAGUGCUUCUCAGGCUUCUGCCCAGGCUCUCAGGAACAAUGCAAGCAGCACAAAUCUCCCCACAGCUGCCCGAGCAGCCAGCUCUUGCAGCACCACGAACGGAUCUGCAGCCACGCUUGGCUUGCGGGUACAGAAACCUCGGGCAGGACAGCACCGUCUCACUGAGCAGAGGGGAGGGAGCUGCUGCUCGGGGAGCACCUUGCACUCGCUGCAUUGCUAACUGACUGCAAGGCAAUAGGACUGUAUCUGCAGGAUGAGGGCUGCCCAGCAGAGUCCAAGGGAGGCGGCUGCAUGCCAUCUGUCUGAGAGAAGACUCCAACAGAACCCUGGCAUAUUAGGAGGAUUUCUAAUAUGGAAAUAGGCA